CAGUAGCCACGGUAACACGAAGGGGGCUAGCGUUGCUCGGAAUGACUGGGCGUAAAGGGCGCGUAGGUGGCGAUCAAAGUCAGGCGUGAAAUUCCUGGGCUCAACCUGGGGGCUGCGUUUGAUACUUGGUUGCUAGAGUGAGGAAGAGGGCCGUGGAAUUCCCAGUGUAGAGGUGAAAUUCGUAGAUAUUAGGAAGAACACCGGUGGCGAAGGCGGCGACCUGGUCCUUGACUGACGCUGAGGCGCGAAAGCGUGGGGAGCAAACAGGAUUAGAUACCCCGGUAGUCCCUGUCUCUUAUAC
rnacentral:rRNA from 1 species